rnacentral:rRNA from 1 species
GACGAACGCUGGCGGCGUGCUUAACACAUGCAAGUCGAGCGGUAAGGCCCUCGGGUACGACGAGCGGCGAACGGCUGAGUAACACGUGGGUGACCUGCCUCUAGCUCUGGGAUAAGCCUGGGAAACUGGGUCUAAUACCGGAUAUGACUCCACGGCGCAUGUUGUGGGGUGGAAAGCCUUGUGUGGCUAGAGAUGGGCCCGCGGCCUAUCAGCUUGUUGGUGGGGUGAUGGCCUACCAAGGCGACGACGGGUAGCCGGCC